CUCCUACGGGAGGCAGCAGUGGGGAAUAUUGCACAAUGGGGGAAACCCUGAUGCAGCAACGCCGCGUGAAGGAAGAAGGUUUUCGGAUCGUAAACUUCUAUCAACAGGGACGAAGAAAGUGACGGUACCUGAAUAAGAAGCCCCGGCUAACUACGUGCCAGCAGCCGCGGUAAUACGUAGGGGGCAAGCGUUAUCCGGAAUUACUGGGUGUAAAGGGAGCGUAGGCGGCACGCCAAGCCAGAUGUGAAAGCCCGAGGCUUAACCUCGUGGAUUGCAUUUGGAACUGGCGAGCUAGAGUACAGGAGAGGAAAGCGGAAUUCCUAGUGUAGCGGUGAAAUGCGUAGAUAUUAGGAAGAACACCAGUGGCGAAGGCGGCUUUCUGGACUGAAACUGACGCUGAGGCUCGAAAGCGUGGGGAGCAAGCAGGAUUAGAUACCCUGGUAGUCCACGCCGUAAACGAUGAGUGCUAGGUGUCGGGGAGGAAUCCUCGGUGCCGCAGCUAACGCAAUAAGCACUCCACCUGGGGAGUACGACCGCAAGGUUGAAACUCAAAGGAAUUGACGGGGGCCCGCACAAGCGGUGGAGCAUGUGGUUUAAUUCGAAGCAACGCGAAGAACCUUACCAAGGCUUGACAUCCCGAUGACCGCUCUAGAGAUAGAGCUUCUCUUCGGAGCAUCGGUGACAGGUGGUGCAUGGUUGUCGUCAGCUCGUGUCGUGAGAUGUUGGGUUAAGUCCCGCAACGAGCGCAACCCUUAUCCUUAGUAGCCAUCAUUGAGUUGGGCACUCUAGGGAGACUGCCGUGGAUAACACGGAGGAAGGUGGGGAUGACGUCAAAUCAUCAUGCCCCUUAUGUCUUGGGCUACACACGUGCUACAAUGGCUGGUAACAGAGUGAAGCGAGACGGCGACGUUAAGCAAAUCACAAAAACCCAGUCCCAGUUCGGAUUGUAGUCUGCAACUCGACUACAUGAAGCUGGAAUCGCUAGUAAUCGCGAAUCAGAAUGUCGCGGUGAAUACGUUCCCGGGCCUUGUACACACCGC
rnacentral:rRNA from 1 species